rnacentral:lncRNA from 1 species
UUGAUCCUUAAAUCUGGUUAAAACUCUUAUUUUUGAAGUUGGAUUUUGAGUUGGUUCGAGGAAGAAGACGAAGUCGUGCGCGUUUUUUUUUAAUUUGAAAAUAUCGAUUGUUGUGUUCUAAUUGGUUUAUGCGCGCGAAGUCCAUUUAUUUAUUGUUUUUUUAUUUGUGAGCGUGUUUUACUAUCACAAUUGGGCCAUUGACCUAGUGGGUGAAGGGAUGGAUUAUCCCAUGACCCUAAGUUCAGGGGUUUGAUCCUAGUGUGUUCACCCUGAAC